UAAGGAAUAUUGGACAAUGGUCGCAAGACUGAUCCAGCCAUGCCGCGUGCAGGAAGACGGCCCUAUGGGUUGUAAACUGCUUUUGUACCAGAGAAAACCUAUCUACGUGUAGAUAGCUGAUAGUAUGGUAAGAAUAAGCAUCGGCUAACUUCGUGCCAGCAGCCGCGGUAAGACGAAGGAUGCAAGCGUUAUCCGGAUUCAUUGGGUUUAAAGGGUGCGUAGGCGGGCUUGUAAGUCAGUGGUGAAAUCUCUCAGCUUAACUGAGAAACUGCCAUUGAUACUGCAGGCCUAGAGUAUAGAUGACGUUGGCGGAAUAUGACAUGUAGUGGGGAAAUACUUAGAUAUGUCAUAGAACACCGAUUGCGAAGGCAGCUAACGAAACUAUAACUGACGCUGAGGCACGAAAGUGCGGGGAUCAAACA
rnacentral:rRNA from 1 species